rnacentral:rRNA from 1 species
AGUGACUAAGCGUACACGGUGGAUGCCUUGGCAGUCAGAGGCGAUGAAAGACGUAGUAACUUGCGAUAAGCCCAGAUUAGGUAGUAACAACCAUUUGAGUCUGGGAUUUCUGAAUGGGGAAACCCACUUACAUAAGUAAGUAUCAUUAACUGAAUACAUAGGUUAAUGAGGCGAACCGGGGGAACUGAAACAUCUAAGUACCCCGAGGAAAAGAAAUCAACCGAGAUUCCGAAAGUAGCGGCGAGCGAAAUUGGACUAGCCCUUAAGCUUUA